rnacentral:rRNA from 1 species
GCACCGAGAUUCAACAUGGAACGAGUGGCGGACGGGUGAGUAACACGUGGGUAACCUGCCCUUAAGUGGGGGAUAACAUUUGGAAACAGAUGCUAAUACCGCAUAGAUCCAAGAACCGCAUGGUUCUUGGCUGAAAGAUGGCGUAAGCUAUCGCUUUUGGAUGGACCCGCGGCGUAUUAGCUAGUUGGUGAGGUAAUGGCUCACCAAGGCGAUGAUACGUAGCCGAACUGAGAGGUUGAUCGGCCACAUUGGGACUGAGACACGGCCCAAACUCCUACGGGAGGCAGCAGUAGGGAAUCUUCCACAAUGGACGCAAGUCUGAUGGAGCAACGCCGCGUGAGUGAAGAAGGCUUUCGGGUCGUAAAACUCUGUUGUUGGAGAAGAAUGGUCGGCAGAGUAACUGUUGCCGGCGUGACGGUAUCCAACCAGAAAGCCACGGCUAACUACGUGCCAGCAGCCGCGGUAAUACGUAGGUGGCAAGCGUUAUCCGGAUUUAUUGGGC